rnacentral:rRNA from 1 species
ACUCCUACGGGAGGCAGCAGUGGGGAAUUUUGGACAAUGGGCGAAAGCCUGAUCCAGCAAUGCCGCGUGAGUGAAGAAGGCCUUCGGGUUGUAAAGCUCUUUUGUCAGGGAAGAAACGGUGAGAGCUAAUAUCCCUUGCUAAUGACGGUACCUGAAGAAUAAGCACCGGCUAACUACGUGCCAGCAGCCGCGGUAAUACGUAGGGUGCAAGCGUUAAUCGGAAUUACUGGGCGUAAAGCGUGCGCAGGCGGUUUUGUAAGUCUGAUGUGAAAUCCCCGGGCUCAACCUGGGAAUUGCAUUGUAGACUGCAAGGCUAGAAUCUGGCAGAGGGGGGUAGAAUUCCACGUGUAGCAGUGAAAUGCGUAGAUAUGUGGAGGAACACCGAUGGCGAAGGCAGCCCCCUGGGUCAAGAUUGACGCUCAUGCACGAAAGCGUGGGGAGCAAACAGGAUUAGAAACCCCUGUAGUCCCAUGA